CCUACGGGAGGCAGCAGUAGGGAAUAUUGCACAAUGGGCGAAAGCCUGAUGCAGCAACGCCGCGUGCGCGAUGAAGGUCUUCGGAUCGUAAAGCGCUUUUCUGGGAGAUGAGAAAGGACAGUAUCCCAGGAAUAAGUCUCGGCUAACUACGUGCCAGCAGCCGCGGUAAUACGUAGGAGGCGAGCGUUAUCCGGAUUCACUGGGCGUAAAGCGCGUGCAGGUGGUUUGGUAAGUUGGGCGUGAAAUCUCCCGGCUCAACUGGGAGAGGUCGUUCAAUACUACCGAGCUAGAGAGCAGAAGAGGAAGAUGGAAUUCCCGGUGUAGUGGUGAAAUGCGUAGAUAUCGGGAGGAACACCAGUGGCGAAGGCGAUCUUCUGGUCUGUUUCUGACACUCAGACGCGACAGCUAGGGUAGUAAACAGGAUUAGAUACCCUGGUAAUCCUAGCCGUAAACGAUGUGAACUUGGCGUUGGUGGGUUAAACUCCAUCAGUGCCGAAGCAAACGCGAUAAGUUCACCGCCUGGGGACUACGGCCGCAAGGUUAAAACUUAAAGGAAUUGACGG
rnacentral:rRNA from 1 species